rnacentral:rRNA from 1 species
UACGAAGGGGGCUAGCGUUGUUCGGAAUUACUGGGCGUAAAGCGUGCGCAGGCGGUUUCUCAAGUCAGGGGUGAAAGCCCGGAGCUCAACUCCGGAAUUGCCUUUGAAACUGUGAAACUGGAGUGCGGGAGAGGUGAGUGGAAUUCCCAGUGUAGAGGUGAAAUUCGUAGAUAUUGGGAAGAACACCGGUGGCGAAGGCGGCUCACUGGCCCGUUUCUGACGCUCAUGCACGACAGCGUGGGGAUCAAACAGG